AAACCGAUGAAUCACAAGAGAGCAAAAUAAGCAUGUUUAGAGUCAUCAAUAUGAAUACCAAAAGAAUCCUCUUUAAAAAGGAGUAUCAGUGAGAUUUGGGUGAGAAGAAGACGAAGGAAAGUGUUACUUGAUACAUUAUAAGCCUGUUAGUGCUCCUUGGAUUUUUAAAAAGUAUAUGCAUGCAUUAUUUUGAUUACAAUGAUUAUUAUUUCUGUUACCCAGCCUUCAAGGUCCUGCCACCUAAGCUCUCUUCCUGGAAACUUGUCUUCCUGCUCUAGCCUUCAAGCCUCUCCCUAGAAGAGCCACAGCACUGCCACAGAGGCUCCACACAAGACAGUCCUUAAUUGUGACAAAUCGCCUCUACAGAUCCAGGACAGAGGAGAAAAGACAUCCCCCCACCCCCAUCCUACCCUCACCCAGAGACACUGCCUUGUCCAAAGGCCCUCUGUUCCCAUGGAAUAUGUUGAUGGCAGUGUCACCCUAGCCUAUCCAUGUUUUAAAGCUGAAAUCAAACUGGUCACCCAAUUCCCCUGUUUUUCAAACAGACACAAAGAGUCCAGCUGAGCCAUUGUUAGGGCCUUCCCUGGCCUGAAGAACCAUAUCCCAACGGGGGCUGGAUGACUCCCUCUCCAAAAUGGAGUCCAGGAUUCCCCCAGCUCCAGGACAGGCAUGUUUUCCCACAGCCCCUAGUCACAGAUCAUGUCUCACCCUUCAAAAGGCUCAUCUGCUGAUGCAUGGGAGAAAUAUGUCCAGCCAGCAGUAUAGGAAGUCUUUCAUUCCAGGCCCUAGCCUCUGCUGGCAAGAGCAAAUUUGCAGCUGGCCAGUGGCGGAUAAAAACAAAGUUAGGGUAGGACACAGAUUCUAGCCAUCCCAUCUGGUCCUCUGUGCUGUACCAUGACCUCAGCGGAGCAGCCAGGGACAGAUGGGGCUCUCUCGCGUGUCACAACCCAACAUCCUGAUCCUCUCUGUCCCCUUUCGCAAUGAUAAAGUGCGUGGUUUGUGGAAGAUUAAUGACCAACCGAUGACUGCUGAAUCGAUAAGACUAUUCCCACAGGAUAAAAGAGGUGCCAGGGGAUGGCAUUUAAGUCACACUUUAAGAGAAGUGGCAGUGGGGCUUGGGGGUCAGGGGUUGGCAGCUGACAGUCUUACAGUGAAGGUACAGGAAUCACUGUGUAUACUUAUAGAUACUGACAGUGUGUGUCACCCGCCUGGAUGUUGAAGAGGUAAAUAGGAGAUUGAAAUUGGGAACUACCAGAUUAGACACAACCCAUAUUUGCUGUGAAAAUGCCACUUUUCCUUUUUCAAAGGUGCUCAGAAAUGGCUUCCCCACUCAUGUGCCCAGGAUCCCUUGACCCCAAGACACACACCCAACACGGGGUCCAGGCUCACCUCUCUGUGCCCUCCUGGAUACCAAACAUCCAGGAGAAAGAGGAAAAUAUCCAAGGUUAAGAUCAAAGAGGAACAGGCAAAGCAGAGAAUUCGUUCUCUAAAAGCAGAGGGGUCAGUGAGGGAGACAACAGAACCUGCUAAGGGCUGAGCAUCCCUAAUCCAGAAACCUGAACUCCAAAAUGCUCCAAAAUCUGAAACUGUUAGAGCGUUGCCAUGAGAGAGUGAUGCCUUUGCUUUCUGAUGGUUCAAUGUACACAAACUUGGCUUCAUGGACAAAAUUAUUGAAAAUAAUUGUACAAAAUUACCUUCAGGCUACGUGCAUAAGGUGUAUAUGAAACCAAUGAAUUUUGUGUUUAGACUUGGGUCCCAUCCCCAAGAUGUCUCAGUAUGUAUACACAAAUAUUCUAAAAUCUGAAAAAAAUACAAAAUCCAAAACACUUCUGGUCUCAAGUACUUUCCAUAAGGGACACACAACCUGUAACAGGUUUACUAAUCAAAGCAUCAACCUCUCCCCCAUCUCUUAUUGCAUCUAAAGAGGACACUCCACCUCAGCCACAGUAAGAAGCAUAAAACUGUCAGGCUCCACCAAAGUCAUUUCCAAGAACAAAUGCGUUUGUGAUGUCAGGAUUAGAGUGACUGCAAUUCUGGAUACACAUUUAAUUUGCAUUACUGCUUUUCUUUGGGGGGUGAGGAGGUAUUCACAAAGAAAGUUCAUUCCUCCCUGAAGGCUAUUUCAAAGACAGUUGCUAAUUAAACCCUGAUGUAGCAUGAGGAAAAUGAAAAUGCCAGACCCUAAACAAGAGUAAAAACUAGGAAAACAAAAAAACAAACAAACAAAAAACACCAGGUCUCCAGUUUCUCAAACGUUAAAAGGCUUCAAAAAGGGGACACUACCAGACGCACACAAAGGAAAGGUUACAAAUAGCUGCAGCAGCCAGAAGGGGGAUGAAACCUAGAGAUUAUCAGCUUUUUUUUUUUUUUUUUUUUGCUACAUUCAUGUCUGUUUUCAGGAGGCUCCUGACUUUCCUGUGAAACAAAAAUAUCUGGGUGUGGGGAGAGCUUUGGACAUCAGAGAGACCCCGGAGAAGUCACUGCGGCCCAUCCUGGUGCCCAUUCAUUUGAGGCUGAGGCUGGAAACACGGAGACCUUCCCCGUUUCCUAGGUCUGGGCCUGACGCACAGGAAACUUCUCUCUUGAUUAGACGCCCACUGAGCCCAAGGUUUAACUUUCCAUCUUCCAUUCCAACACACACGCCCUGCCACUCUACCGAGAGCCCAGUCACGGGGGCUUUUCCAACAAACUCGUCCACCCAUGACCAUUGUAGGCAACCUCCAAGACUCCGUUCACAGUGAACCUUGCCUUUUUCUGCAAACCCAGAAACUAGCCUUUAAAUUGCUCAGGGAAUAUUCUCCAAACAGCAGAUUCAUCCUUAUUCAGGGUUUUGGCAGUCAAAACUCAGGGGUCAAUUAAGCCACGCCAAGCCCUCGUGCCUUAAUCUAUUUCCUGAGCAUUUCCCUGCCAUGGCUGGGGAGGGUAGAGGAUGGUGUCAGCCCCAUCUAGAAUCACGCUGGCCUGACACAGACCUCCCUUGCUGAGGUUUUCCUCUAGUCCAGCAUAAAGGGGUUUUCGACCCUCUCUCUUGCAAGCAUCGAAAUAAAAUUAUUCAGACACUCUCUAGCUACUUCAGAUGAAUUGGUCACAGUCACGUGACACAUCUGGAUAUUUCCUUUCAAAACAGACUUCGCAAGUGAAAUGGGAUCCAGAUGUUUUGAGCAGAGGUACAUCCAGUCCCCUUCCUAGGUGGUACCCACAUAAUGAAGACUCAACAUAAUUUGACUUUUGUGUAUACUUCUUAUUUCCCCGACUAGAAUGUAAGCUCUUUCAAGACCCCACAUGAAACUUGCCCGUGGCCCUUAGCACACUGUUGGCCCACAGUUGGUCCUUAAAAGCUGCUCUAAUUAAAGAAGCAAUAAAUAACACAGACAGUUCAAGUGUAUCAAACACAAGCCAAAGUCAAGAACAAAAUGUUUCCUGAACAAGGCUAUACAGAUGGAUUUAGAUUUGGAAAAAUCUUGAUCCUCUUGUUAAUUAAGACUACUCAUAAAGCAAACAACCAGAUUUAAAAAAAAAUAGCUAGCUAUUUUGACCUGAAUAGUUCUUUACAUGGAAGCUGUCUUUUUUUUUUUUUUUUGAGACGGAGUCUCGCUCUGUCACCCAGGCUGGAAAACAGUGGCAUAAUCUCGGCUCACUGCAAACUCUGCCUCCCAGGUUCACGUCAUUCUCCUGCCUCAGCCUCCAGAGUAGCUGGAACUACAGGUGCCCGCCACCAUGCCUGGCUAAUUUUUUUGUAUUUUCAGUAUAGACAGGGAUUCACCGUGUUAGCCAAUAUGGUGUCGAUCUCCUGACCUUGUGAUCUGCCCAUCUCGGCCUCCCAAAGUGCUGGGAUUACAGGCAUGAGCCACCGUGCCCGGCGGAAGCUGUAUUUCUAAAAAAUCUGCAUGAUAAACUACGUAGAUAGCAUUUAUUAAUUAAUUAAUUUAUUUAGAGAUAGGCUCUUGCUCUGUUGCCUAGGCUGGAGUGCAGCAGCAUGAUAGUAGCUCACUGUAGCCUUGACCUCCUGGGCUCAAGCGAUCCUCCCGCCUCAGCCUCCAGAGUAGCUGGGACUACAGGUAUGCACCACUGCACCAGACUAAUUUUUUAAUGUUUUUGCAGAGAUGUGGUCUCUCUAUGUUGCCUAGGCUGCUCUCAAACUCCUGGGCUCAAGUGAUCCUUCCGCCUCAGCCUCCCAAAGUGUUGGGAUUACAAGCAUGAGCCACUGUGCCUGGCCACAGACAGCAUUUUAUAUUUCAGAAAUCGUAAACCUUCUUUAAGACGCAAGUCAAAUGCUUGCCCAUAUUUUAUUGAGCACUUACUAGGUGUGUGCCAGGCCCUGUGUGGAAAGCUUUCUAGGCACUCAAACAGUUUAUCUAUACAAUGCUGUGGGAGGUUCUAAUACCAUCCCCAGUGCAUGGGUGAUAAAACUGGCGUAGUUGUUCCCUGGGGCCUUCCUGACCUCUCCAAUAGAUAGUACUCACUUCCUCUCCUGAAACUCUAUUUGGCACUUUCUGUGCUUCUCUUAUGAGACACAGCAAUUCUCCCAUGUGCACAAAAUAAUGGAGACACCAUCCUGUCCCCUCUGCUGUACUGUAAGUUCCUUAAAGACAGGGAUAUCUGAUUCCAAUGGUACUCUGCAAAGCAGGCUAUCCAGGUGCUGUUGACAGAAGGAGGUUUGAGGACCACUGUCUUAUUAAAGCAGCCCAUUGCUGGUAAUGAACCAAGCCUAUGAAAUGAAUGGGUGGCUUAUCAAUAACCAUUAUUAUUAGAUGUCAUUUGAGUACAGAUAAUUGUGUUUCCAGUAGACAAAGAACUACCCCAACCUCAGCUCUGCCAGUCUCUCAACCUGUCUCCCACCUCUCCCUCCUCCCUUCCCCCUCCCCUCAUUCAGCUCCAGGAACAUUGGCACUUUCCACUGCUCCUUAACUGUGCCACAUCUUCUGCCUAGAAUGUUCUUACUUUAGAUUUGCAUGGCUCAGUCCCUCUUUUUUGUUUUGGAGACAGUCUUGAUCUGUCGCCUAGGCUGGAGUGCAGUGGUGCCACCUCAGCUCACUGCAACCUCUGCCUCCCAGGCUCAAGCAAUUCUCAUGCCUCAGCCUCCCAAGUAGCUGGGAUUACAGGCAUGUGUCACCACACUUGGCUAAUUUUUGUAUUUUUCAGUAGAGAUGGGGUUUCUCCAUGUUGGGCAGGCUUGUCUUGAACUCUUGGCCUCAACUGAUCCAUCCACCUUGGCCUCCCAAAAUGCUGGGAUGACAGGUGUGAGCCACAGCGCCCGGUCCCAAUCCCUCUUUUAUUCACAUCUUUUCCCACAUAUCCCCUCCACAGAGCCGUUAUCUGACCAUCCCAACUCGACAACAGCACCUCACCCCAUCACUGUCUAUGGCAUCACUGUGCUUCAUCAAUAUUUUCAAAGCCCUGAUCACUGACAUCAUGCUAUACAUACUGUGCAUUUGCUGUCUGUUUCUUCCCGCUUAGAAUGCACACAUCAAGAGGUUAUAGAGGGCCAGAUGCAGUGUCUCAUGCCUGUAAUCUCAGCACUUUGGGAGCCCAAGGCAGGAGGAUCGCUUGAGGCCAAGAGUUCAAGACUAGCCUGGACAAAAUAGCAAGGCCCCAUCUCUACUCGAUAGAUAGAUAGAUAGAUAGAUAGAUAGAU
rnacentral:lncRNA from 1 species